CCUUUGACAUCCAGCGAACUUUUCCAGAGAUGGAUUGGUGCCUUCGGGAACGCUGAGACAGGUGCUGCAUGGCUGUCGUCAGCUCGUGUUGUGAAAUGUUGGUUAAGUCCCGNAACGAGCGCAACCCUUUAUCCUUUUGUUGCCAGCGAUUCGGUCGGGAACUCAAAGGAGACUGCCGGUGAUAAACCGGAGGAAGGUGGGGAUGACGUCAAGUCAUCAUGGCCCUUACGAGUAGGGCUACACACGUGCUACAAUGGCGCAUACAAAGAGAAGCGACCUCGCGAGAGCAAGCGGACCUCAUAAAGUGCGUCGUAGUCCGGAUCGGAGUCUGCAACUCGACUCCGUGAAGUCGGAAUCGCUAGUAAUCGUGGAUCAGAAUGCCACGGUGAAUACGUUCCCGGGCCUUGUACACACCGCCCGUCACACCAUGGGAGUGGGUUGCAAAAGAAGUAGGUAGCUUAACCUUCGGGAGGGCGCUUACCACUUUGUGAUUCAUGACUGGGGUGAAGUCGUAACAAGGUAGGCGUAGCGAG
rnacentral:rRNA from 1 species